UACGGGGGGGGCAAGCGUUGUUCGGAAUUACUGGGCGUAAAGGGCUCGUAGGUGGCCAACUAAGUCAUACGUGAAAUCCCUCGGCUUAACCGGGGAACUGCGUCUGAUACUGGAUGGCUUGAGGUUGGGAGAGGGAUGCGGAAUUCCAGGUGUAGCGGUGAAAUGCGUAGAUAUCUGGAGGAACACCGGUGGCGAAGGCGGCAUCCUGGACCAAUACUGACGCUCAGGCACGAAAGCGUGGGGAGCAAACAGG
rnacentral:rRNA from 1 species